rnacentral:rRNA from 1 species
GGAAUCUUGCGCAAUGGGCGAAAGCCUGACGCAGCAACGCCGCGUGCGGGAUGAAGGCCUUCGGGCUGUAAACCGCUUUCAGCAGGAACGAAAAUGACGGUACCUGCAGAAGAAGGAGCGGCCAACUACGUGCCAGCAGCCGCGGUGACACGUAGGCUCCAAGCGUUGUCCGGAUUUAUUGGGCGUAAAGAGCUCGUAGGCGGUUGAGUAAGUCGGGUGUGAAAACUCUGGGCUUAACCCGGAGACGCCAUCCGAUACUGCUCUGACUAGAGUUCAGGAGGGGAGUGGGGAAUUCCUAGUGUAGCGGUGAAAUGCGCAGAUAUUAGGAGGAACACCGGUGGCGAAGGCGCCACUCUGGACUGAAACUGACGCUGAGGAGCGAAAGCAUGGGUAGCAAACAGGAUUAGAUACCCUGGUAGUCCAUGCCGUAAACGGUGGGCACUAGGUGUGGGUUCCAACUAACGGGAUCCGCGCCGUCGCUAACGCAUUAAGUGCCCCGCCUGGGGAGUACGGUCGCAAGACUAAAACUCAAAGGAAUUGACGG